rnacentral:rRNA from 1 species
UACGUAGGGACCGAGCGUUGUCCGGAUUCAUUGGGCGUAAAGAGCUCGUAGGCGGCUGCUCAAGUCGAAUGUGAAAACUCGAGGCUCAACCUCGAGACGCCGAUGGAAACCAUCUGGCUAGAGUCCGGAAGAGGAGAGUGGAAUUCCCGGUGUAGCGGUGAAAUGCGCAGAUAUCGGGAAGAACACCCGUGGCUAAGGCGGCUCUCUAGUACGGUACUGACGCUGAGACGCGAAAGCGUGGGGAGCGAACAGG